AUGGCCUGGACUUCUAUUUUGAUCACACUUCUGGCUCACUGCACAGAGACUAUUUCCCAGGCUGUUGUGACUCAGGACACUUCAUUCAUCACAUCUCCUGGAGGGACAAUCACACUCACCUGUGGCUCCAGUACUGGGGCUGUUACCACCAGUAACUAUGCCAACUGGGUCCAAGAAAACUCUGACCAGGUAUACACUGGUCUGAUAUAUAGGACGAGCAACAGAGGUUCAGGUGUCCCUGCCCAAUUCUCAGGCUCACUGCUUGGAGACAAGGUGGCCCUACUAUCACAGGAGUCCAUCCUGAGGAUGAGGCUGUGUAUUACUGUGGUCUGUUCUAUAGUGACCAUUUACACAAUGGUGCAUAUAGAUGGGGACGUAGAGCACAAACACCCUGGAACAAAGCGCUGGCUGCGGGCAGUUCGGGACCGCGGCAGCGGCCUAGGGCGAGUGGGCAAGCGAGCGGACUGGCGCGGGGGAGGUGUGCUGUUGUUGCUGCUUUGGCCUUUGGCGACCGCGACAAGCGGGCACCACUGCGUGCCUAG